GGCUUCGUGGUGUAGUGGUAAGCACGCUCGACGCGUAACCGAGAGGUCCGUGGUUCGAUUUCCGGCGAAGACG
rnacentral:tRNA from 1 species